GAAGCAACGCGCAGAACCUUACCAGCCCUUGACAUGUCCCGUAUGAGUACCAGAGAUGGAACUCUUCAGUUCGGCUGGCGGGAACACAGGUGCUGCAUGGCUGUCGUCAGCUCGUGUCGUGAGAUGUUGGGUUAAGUCCCGCAACGAGCGCAACCCUCGCCCUUAGUUGCCAUCAUUUAGUUGGGCACUCUAAGGGGACUGCCGGUGAUAAGCCGCGAGGAAGGUGGGGAUGACGUCAAGUCCUCAUGGCCCUUACGGGCUGGGCUACACACGUGCUACAAUGGCGGUGACAGUGGGACGCAAUGGGGAAACCCUGCGCAAAUCUCAAAAAGCCGUCUCAGUUCGGAUUGUGCUCUGCAACUCGAGCACAUGAAGUCGGAAUCGCUAGUAAUCGCAGAUCAGCACGCUGCGGUGAAUACGUUCCCGGGCCUUGUACACACCGCCCGUCACACCAUGGGAGUUGGAUUUACCUUAAGACGGUGCGCCAACCGCAAGGGGGCAGCCGGCCACGGUAGGUUCAGCGACUGGGGUGAAGUCGUAACAAGGUAGCCGUAGGGGAACCUGCGGCUGGAUCACCUCCU
rnacentral:rRNA from 1 species